UACGGAGGGCGCAAGCGUUAAUCGGAAUCACUGGGCGUAAAGCGUGCGUAGGCUGUUUGAUAAGUCAGGCGUGAAAUCCCUCGGCUCAACCGGGGAACUGCGUUUGAUACUGUUGAACUAGAGUCCUGGAGAGGGUGGCGGAAUUCCUGGUGUAGGAGUGAAAUCCGUAGAUAUCAGGAGGAACACCGGUGGCGAAGGCGGCCACCUGGACAGGUACUGACGCUGAGGUACGAAAGCGUGGGGAGCAAACAGGAUUAGAUACCCUGGUAGUCCACGCGGUAAACGAUGGAUGCUAGGUGUCGGGGAGCGAUCUUCGGCGCCGCAGCUAACGCAUUAAGCAUCCCGCCUGGGGAGUACGGUCGCAAGGCUGAA
rnacentral:rRNA from 1 species